rnacentral:rRNA from 1 species
UUAUUAUGAGAGUUUGAUCCUGGCUCAGGACGAACGCUGGCGGCGUGCCUAAUACAUGCAAGUCGAACGCUUCUUUCCUCCCGAGUGCUUGCACUCAAUUGGAAAGAGGAGUGGCGGACGGGUGAGUAACACGUGGGUAACCUACCCAUCAGAGGGGGAUAACACUUGGAAACAGGUGCUAAUACCGCAUAACAGUUUAUGCCGCAUGGCAUAAGAGUGAAAGGCGCUUUCGGGUGUCG